AUUCAUCUGAAGUUCGAGAAACACCAAAUUGCAGGAGCUCUUCCUGGGACAGCACAGAGCAGCACGGGGAGCAAACCCAUCACUUCAAGCAGAUCUCUAAGAAAGGACUGAGGGAUGGAAGCUGGGCCAGGGAAUGUGUCCUCCUGUGUGAGGCACUGUGUGACCUCCCACUGUGGAGCACAGAGCACAGCAAGGCUGAAGUGAACAUGGAACAAGUGGAAUUGCAGUCAUCAGUAUGGCAAAGAGGAGAGGAGCUAAUGGCUGAAUCCCAAAAAAAAAGCCAGGGAGUGGAAGUGAAGGUUCAGACUGCUUGUGUUUAAGAUCGAACCGGAAGGCAGUGAGAGCUUUACAGACCAUCCUUCAAUGCAAACCAUUUAGGAGCUGCUGGAGUCCCACAAAUCCCAGCUGUGCAGAGAUCCUCCAGCAGAGCUGUUUGAAACCUGGGACUGAAAGCUAAUCAGCAAAGAGGAGAACCAGGUGUGCUGCGUUUCCCUCGGCAGGGCGGCGGGUGACCUCGCAGCGACACCUCGUGGCCUGACCCACCUGGAGCCGCGCCAGCGAUUCCUC